rnacentral:rRNA from 1 species
CAGUAGCCGCGGUAAUACGAAGGUCCCGAGCGUUGUUCGGAAUCACUGGGCGUAAAGGGAGCGUAGGCGGCGUGGUAAGUCAGAUGUGAAAUCCCGGGGCUCAACCCCGGAACUGCAUCCGAUACUGCCAUGCUAGAGGAUUGGAGAGGUAGCUGGAAUUCUUGGUGUAGCAGUGAAAUGCGUGGAGAUCAAGAGGAACACUCGUGGCGAAAGCGAGCUACUGGACAAUAACUGACGCUGAGGCUCGAAAGCCAGGGUAGCGAAAGGGAUUAGAUACCCGGGUAGUCCCUGUCUCUUAUAC